CCGUUUAUCCCAACGCAACCUAAAACCUAGAGCUCUUACCACUUUAACUGUCACGCCCUGAGACCGGGCCUAGGCGAGAUAGCCGCCGCGAGCCUAUAGACCAGAGGCCUAUAGUCACGCAAGGCAUGAUAAAGCAGGCAUAAACCAGAAGUGGAUCACAAAAGCUAAUAUAUUUACUAUACAAAUUCCUUGACAUCUACAAAUAGUUGAGUAAAGACAUCAUAUUCUUUAGUCGCUUCCCACCCGCUGGUCAAGCCUAGUCUUGGAUGAAGACAUCUUCUGAACAUACUUAAGUUGAACAUACUUAAGUUACCUCGUUCGCAUCUAAAAAAGCUUUAACUGUCAUGCCCCGAGACCGGGCCUAGGCAAGACAGCCGCCGCACGCCUAUAGACUAGGAGGACUAUAGUCAUGCAAGGCGUGAUUAAUUAAGCAUUAACCAUCAGUGGAUCACAAAAGCUCAUAUAUAUUGACUACAGAAAUUUCUUUACAUAUACAAAUAGACAAAAUACAUUAAAAUCUCUAGUCGUUUCCCACCCACUGGUCCAGCCUAUUCUUGGAUGACAUCUUCUGGGCAUACUUAAGUUACACCGACUGCAUUUAAGAAACAGAGGAGACAAGGGUGAGUAUGAUAAAUCAUACUCAGCAAGCAAAUACUUCACUAUUCAAUAAGGAGCAAUGGUAUGAUGGUGUAGAUCAACAGAAGAACUAAAUUCAAAGGAUAACAAUGUAACAACCAUUGGAAUCGUAUUUUGAUGUAAAUGGACAAAAGAACAAAAUACCAGAUUUAGUAAAAACAACAAGGAGUCUAUUGGCGUCACACAUGACCGCAAGCUUCCCAACCCGGGAGUCACAGGAGUGAAAUUUCACACUUUUACGAUCUUAAGAGGGGUACUCCGACGUCGACAGCCUCGACUAGAACCACAAAGGUUCCAGAAGAGAAGAGCUCUUGUACCCACUAAGACCCGGACACCUGGACCUACUGAUGUCGGUCGCUCCUACGGAUCCAUCACCGACACGUUCCCGAACAAGGUCCGUCCUUAGCGGAGAACUCAGACAGUCCCAUACCUGAACUGUGACCGGUGCAAUACGUUUGCCGUCAUGACACCAAUAUAGAUGGAUGUGUGUUUGAAUCAACGAUAGGACCACUGAAGUAUCGGUCAAAGACAAUACACUCAUGACUUUUCAUGAGUUCCUCCAAAAUACUCUGAUUCCAUCAACAAAUGGAUUAUGAGGAAAACACAUCCCUCUUUCAAGGAUCAACAGAGGAUCAACAAAGAUCAAGGUGCAAUGAUAUUACCAGAUAAUCAAGCAAGACAACAAUAAGGAGAGAUCAGGGAGUUUAGCAAAGCAUCUACUUGCCUCAGAUAAUAUGAUUUCUCCUUUAGAAUAAUAUUCUGCAAGAAGAUGAAACUCCAUCAUCUUUGUAUAAAAUCUGACGAAUGCGCAUAUACUAAUAUUCUUCUGACGUAUGGCUCCGUUCUUCCCUCCAUCAGCAUCUACACGAUCUAUAUAUCUUCAAACAUGGACGCAUGCAUACUUGUAUUCUUCAUCUCUCUUCUCUUCGCUCUCUCCGCUGGUAUGCUCUAUUUCUCUCAUGCUCUCUCCUAGUAUCUUCUCUUCGCUCUAUUUCUCUCAUGCUCUCACUCUUGGUGAUGAGGAUGUGCAAAACGAGUAGCAGCAGCUAUUUAUAGAUGGUGAUCCCAGAGUGAACUCAGCCGAGCUGUUCUUGAAGCACACGAUCAUCUGGACUCUACCUAUUACGUGGCAUGCAUGCCUUGGUCUACGUGGAGAACCUGGUAAAAGAUCUAAGCCGCAAUGGCCUUUGACCCUUGCCCCUUGACCCUUCGAACUGCUGCCCCUUUUGCUUGUGCAAAAGCCAAACAAACCUGACCACUAUACAAAACCUCCACGUAGCAAUUUCUUUGUCCUAAAUAUCUAAGGGUGCUGCCAGCACAACCUAGCUUCAUCUAGUACCAGGCCACGUUGGCCCUCUCAUGCAGAGGAUUUUACUUAGCUUGUAAGGAUAGUACAUACGUGUGCAUUCUCAUCAUUACAUGCAUGCACAUCUUCUAGUAUUUGGCCAUCUUCUCAUUACUAGCUAGCCUGUACUAGCCACUAAUUUGUAUUAAUUUGCAUACUAAUGCCAUAACGUGAGUGCAUGGAUGCUAGUCUACGUGCACACAUACAUAUUUACUUAGUGUGUAAUUAUAUCCAUCUAAUAUUUUAUGCAUGCAAAAAUUACAGCUCUAUUUUAAUUCUUUGAAACAGGAAUCUAGCAUAACUUAUUUGCCCAAUUAUUUUAUGUUAAACAGAUAACAGAAAUUUAAUACCCAACUUAAUUUAAAUUAAUAACCCAAAAAUUUGGGUUAUUACAUCCUUCCCACCUUGUAAGAAUUCCGUCCCCGAAAUUCAACACUAACAUACACACUAUAUUUUUUUAGUGGUCAAAUAUUCUUUGAUAAUAUUUGGGACAGUUUAUUUAAUUCAUGCUCAACAAUUAAUUAUAAAUAAUGAAACAAAAUUGCAAUAUUUUCUACAAUUUAUGGAUAUAUCUGCUAUAACAUAAGUUGGCAACACUAAUCAUUUUAUUUGGUAAGGUCAUUAACAAAAGAGGAUAGAUGGUGAUAUAGUAAUUCUCCCGUUACUAGAUAAAUAUCACCUGUUGUCUUAAACAAGAAAAUCUACACAAAUAACAAGUCAUGAAUUCAUCUAACAAAAUGUAUUUAUUUCCAAUGUAUUCUCAAAUUUCACCAAUAAUACGUACGCCAUAUUUUUAUUUUCCUGCAUAUUUGUCGAAAAUAUUCGUGAGUAACAACACACAAACUAGUUGAGACAAGAUAUGAAACUAAAUUCUUCAUACUUGUCAAACAACACAAAUAUAUAGUGACAAAAUUUAUUGCCAUGAACCAUUUUAGUUUAUAUGGUUCCUCAAGAGUCUAAUAAUGGUGUAAGCACUUCUUUUUUUCUACCAAUUGAUAAAAACAUCAUUUCUCUAACAAUAAUUAGUCACAAAUAUAAUCGACGAUCUACCCGUUUAUCGCAGCGCAACCUAAAAAACUAGAGCUCUGAUACCACUUCACGACAAUGAAGUGGUAUGGGUUAUUAAUUUUGACAAACAAUUAAUUCUAAUUAUUGUUACUAAGAGGGGUACCUCAUAUACGUUCUCAUAUACGUUCGCUUACAUGCUAAUAUAUUUAGCUAGACGCAAUGAACAAUAUACUCAUGAAGGUAUAUUUGUUGAAACAUACCUAGAGCUCUAGAGAAGGUAUUAAUAAAGACUAGGCUCAUGAGUAUAUUUGUUGAAACUACUCAUAUUUCUUCUGAUGUUUAUAUUAUCAUGUAAACAGUUCUACCCAUUUACAGCAUGUACUGUCACGCCCCGAGACCGGGCCUAGGCGAGACAGCCGCCGCGCGCCUAUAGACCAGAGGCCUAUAGUCACGCAAGGCAUGAUAAAGCAGGCAUAAACCAGAAGUGGAUCACAAAAGCUAAUAUAUUUACUAUACAAAUUCCUUGACAUCUACAAAAAGUUGAGUAAAGACAUCAUAUUCUCUAGUCGCUUCCCACUCGCUGGUCAAGCCUAGUCUUGGAUGAAGACAUCUUCUGAACAUACUUAAGUUGAACAUACUUGAGUUACCUCGUUCGCAUCUAAAAAACAGAGGAAGCAAGGGUGAGUACGACAAAUCAUACUCAGCAAGCAGAUACUUCACUAUUCAACAAGGAGCGAUGGUAUGAUGGUGUAGAUCAACAGACGAAAUGAACAAGGAAAUUAUUGGCAUCACACAUGACCGCAAGCUUCCCAACUCGGGAGUCACAGGGGUGAAAUUUCACACUUUUACGCUCUUAAGAGGGGUACUCCGACGUCGACAGUCUCGACUAGAACCACACAGGUUCCAGAAGAGCAGAGCUCUUGUACCCACUAAGACCCGAACACCUGGACCUACUGAUGUCGGUCGCUCCUACGGAUCCAUCACCGACACGUUCCCGAACAAGGUCCGUCCUUAGUGAAGAACCCAGACAGUCCCAUACCUGAACUGUGACCGGUACAUUACGUUUGCCGUCGUGACACCAAUACAAAAUAGGAUAUGUGUUUGAAUCAACGAUAGGGUCACUGGAAUAUCAAUACGCUCAUGGCUUUACAUGAGUUCCUCUCAAAACACACAGGUUCCAUUAACAAAUGGAUUACGAGGGUAACAUGUCCCUCUCUCAAUUGAAACAAGGAUCAGCAGAGGAUCAAUAAAGAUCAAGGUGCAACAAUACAAUCAGAUAAUCAAAGGAAGAUAACGGAUUUGAGAGUUAGUAAAGUAGCUACUUGCCUCAGAUAAUAUGAUUUCUCCUUUAGAAUAAUAUUUUGCAAGAAGAUGAAACUCCAUCAUCUUUGUAUAAAAUCUGACGAACACACAUAUAUUCAUAUUUCUUCUGAUGUAUGGCUCGGCUCUUCCCUCCAGCAGCACCUAAACGCUCUAUUCUUCUUCAAAUGUGGAUGCAUGCAUGAAUUCUUCAUCUCUCUUCUUUAUCUUUCUGGUGUCUUUCUUUCUCUCAGGCUCCCUCCUCCAGUGUCUAUGUCUUUCUCUCAGAGCUGUGCUUUGAGCAGCGUGACCCACAACUAUUUAUAGGAGGCGAGCGCCCGUGCAAGUCUAAAAUAUCUUGGCCUGGCUCUUACUUAAGCACUAAGAAAUGGCCACGUAUAGGACACGUAAAAGCUGACUUCUAUUUUCUAUUUCUAUGUUCCUCUAGUACUUGGCCACGUUGCAGCCCACGUAGGAAACUUGGGUUUCUAGCGAUGCAGCCGAUGCAUGCAUUUACCCACGUUUGCUUCCAGUCCUCUCCUGUACGUGUAGUUGAUUCACUACAGUUUUCAAAACACCUGACACAUGCAUGCAUAUCCUCUAGAACCAAGCCACGUUGCCUCUUCCUCAUGAUUACAUACAUGCACCUAUUUGACUUGGAGCUCUAGUACUAGGAAAUAUCUACCGGUGUAUCAUUUGUACCUGGUCUAAUUUCAUCUAUUCAAAUGCCACGUUAACUCUCUUGUAAUUGUCUAGCUUAUAUUUUCAACUAGCUAGUAGUAUUUCCCAUGCCUAUAUCACAACGUGAGUGCAUGAAUGCAAGUCUAUGCGCACAUGCACCUACUCUUACUUAGUGUGUAAUUUUUUAAUAUUUAAUGCAUGUAAAAAAAUUUACAACUCUAUCUUAAUUCUUUGAAUCAAGAAUUUAGCAUAACUUAGCACAUAAUACAAAUUUAUUUACUUAUCUUAAUUUAAAUCAAUAACCCAAAAAUAUGGGUUAUUACAUCCUUCCCACCUUAUAAGAAUUUCGUCCCCGAAAUUCAACACUAACAUCUAUGCUUUUUUUUAGUGAUCAAAUUCCCUCCCAUCAUAUGUGGAACAGUUUAUUUGAUGCAUGCUCAAUAAUUAAUUAAAAAUAAUGCAAAAAGGAUUUGCAAUCUUUCUACAAUUCAUGGAUAUAUCUGCUAUAACAUAAGUUGGCAACACUAAACAUUUUAUUUGGUAAAUUCAUUAACAAAAAGGAUAGAUAGUGGUAUAGCAAUUGUCCCAUUACUAGAACAAUAUCACCGGUUGUCUUAAACAAGAAAAUCUACACAAAUAACAAGUCAUGUAUUAAUCUAACAAGAUGUCUAUUUAUUUCCCAUUCAUCCUCAAAUUUCACCAAUAAUAUGUACGCUAUAUUAUUUAUUUGCAUGGAUAUCUGUCGACAAUAUUCGUGAGUAACAACACACAAACUAGUUGAGACAAGAUAUGAAAAUAAAAUUUUCAUACCUGUCACACAACACAAAUAUAUUCGGCGAUCUACCCGUUUAUCCCAACGCAACCUAAAACCUAGAGCUCUGAUACCACUUUAACUGUCUACUAUGACCCAUAUAGCAUCGUAUCCUGUAGAAGUUUGAGGUAGACCCGUGACAAAAUCCAUACUAAUUUCUUCCCAUUUCCUUGUCUAGUAAAUUUUAUAAAGUGGUAUCUGAGCUCUAGGUUUUAGGUUGCGUUGGGAUAAACGGGUAGAUCGCCGAAUAUAUUUGUGUUGUGUGACAGGUAUGAAAAAUUUAUUUUCAUAUCUUGUCUCAACUAGUUUGUGUGUUGUUACUUACGAAUAUUGUCAACAGAUAUCCAUGCAAAACAAUAAGGUAAUUGCUUAUGCUUUUCGACAGCUAAAGACACAUGAGAAAAAUUAUCCUACUCAUGAUUUGGAAUUGGGUGCUGUCAUCUUUGCAUUAAAAAUAUGGAGGUAUUAUUUGUAUGAAGAAUGAUGUGAAAUUUAUACAGAUCAUAAGAGCCUGAAAUACAUAUUCACCCAGAAGGAAUUAAACAUGCGACAACGAAGGUGGCUAGAGCUACUUAAGGAUUAUGAUAUCAACAUAAAUUACCAUCCAGGUAAAGCUAACGUCGUGGCCGAUGCACUUAGUAGAAAGACUGUUUGCAACAUGGCAUGUCUAAUUACUACACAAAGAGACAUUUUGAGGGACAUGGAGAAAUUGGGUAUAGAAGUAUAUGUACGUGAUUCAACUAGCACUGUUAUGGCAUUACAAGUCAAGCCUGAUCUGCAAGACAAAAUCCGGAUGAAACAAAUGGACGACCCAUUUCUUUUGAACCUCCGAAAGGGGAUAGAACAAGGAAAGCCAUCGGAGUUUCAUAUAAGAAGUGAUGGGUCAGUAUGGCUGAGGAACCGCAUAUGUGUCCCUAACCAGCCAGAUUUAAAGUUGGAAAUUAUGCAAGAGGCACACUCCACACCAUACAACGUGCACCCAGGGAGCACAAAAAUGUAUCAUGACAUUAAAGGGAAUUUUUGGUGGCUCAACAUGAAGAGAGAAAUACCAUAAUUUGUUUUAGAAUGUCCAAUAUGUCAGCAUGUAAAGGUAGACCAUCAAUAACCAGCCGGUCUUCUACAACCUUUAAAAAUCCUGACAUGGAAAUGGGAAGAAAUUAGUAUGGAUUUUGUCACGGGUCUACCUCAAACUUCUGCAGGAUACGAUGCUAUAUGGGUCAUAGUAGACAGUUAAAGGAUGUAAUAACCCAUAUUUUUGGGUUAUUGAUUUAAAUUAAGAUAAGUAAUUAAAUUUGUAUUAUCUGCUAAGUUAUGCUAAAUUCUCGAUUCAAAGAAUUAAGAUAGAGCUGUAAAUUUUUUUACAUGCAUUAAAUAUUAGAAAAUUACACACUAAGUAAGAGUAGGUGCAUGUGCGCAUAGACUUGCAUUCAUGCACUCACGUUGUGAUAUAGGCAUGGGAAAUACUACUAGCUAGUUGGCCAUAUAAGCUAGACAAUUACAAGAGAGUUAACGUGGCAUUUGAAUAGAUGAAAUUAGACCAGGUACAAAUGAUACCCCGGUAGAUAUUUCCUAGUACUAGAGCUCCAAGUCAAAUAGGUGCAUGUAUGUAAUCAUGAGGAAGAGGCAACGUGGCUUGGUUCUAGAGGAUAUGCAUGCAUGUGUCAGGUGUUUUGAAAACUCUAGUGAAUCAACUACACGUACAGGAGAGGAAUGGAAGCAAACGUGGGUAGAUGCAUGCAUCGGCUGCAUCGCUAGAAACCCAAGUUUCCUACGUGGGCUGCAACAUGGCCAAGUACUAGAGGAACAUAGAAAUAGAAAAUAGAAGUCAGCUUUUACGUGUCCUAUACGUGGCCAUUUCUUAGUGCUUAAGUAAGAGCCAGGCCAAGAUAUUUUAGACUUGCACGGGCGCUCGCCUCCUAUAAAUAGCUGUGAGUCACGCUGCUCAAAGCACAACUCUGAGAGAAAGACAGAAACACUGGAGGAGAGAGCCUGAGAGAAAGAAAGACACCAGAAAGAUAAAGAAGAGAGAUGAAGAAUUCAUGCAUGCAUCCACAUUUGAAGAAGAAUAGAGCGUUUAGGUGCUGCUGGAGGGAAGAGCCAAGCCAUACAUCAGAAGAAAUAUGAGUAUAUGUGUGUUCGUCAGAUUUCAUACAAAGAUGAUGGAGUUUCAUCUUCCUGCAGAAUAUUAUUCUAAAGGAGAAAUCAUAUUAUCUAAGGCAAGUAGCUGCUUUGCUAAACUCCCUGAUCUCUCCUUAUUGUUGUCUUGCUUGAUUAUCUGGUAAUAUCAUUGCACCUUGAUCCUUAUUGAUCCUCUCUUGAUCCUUGAGAGAGGGAUGUGUUGUUCUCGUAUUCCAUUUGUUGAUGGAAUCAGAGUAUUUUGGAGGAACUCGUGAGAAGUCAUACGCGUAUUGUCUUUGACUGAUAUUACAGUGAUUCUACCGUUGAUUCAAACACAUAUCCUAUUUUGUAUUGGUGUCACGACAGCAAACAUAUUGUAUCGGUCACAGUUCAGGUAUGGGACUGUCUGAGUUCUCCGCUAAGGACGGACCUUGUUCGGGGCGUGACAAAUUGUCACGCCCCAAGUGAGUCUUAGCCGUGACAAUCGCCACAUGCUUAUAAAUCUCAAAUUUAUAAGCAUGUUAGGCUAGUAAACAAAUUAUUUUCCAGUAUGCACAAGAGCCAACUUUAUUCAUUACUAGCUAUUACAAAGGUUAUGAUACAUGCAACUUCUUUAUUUACUCCCAACCCGUAGAUCUACUCCUACUGUUCAUCAUUCUCAUCAGCACAUCCAUCAUUUGCUACUUCUGCAAAAUCAACAACAAUAGCAAGAAUGAGUAUGAUCUCAUACUCAGCAAGCACACGGGUACACAGGAACUUCUCUCAGCAAAUAGUGACAGAACACAGGGGUUAGUUGUAAAGAAAGAGUUUGUUGGCAGAGGAAGAUAAUGGAGAUUAAUUUAAAGAAAAGGAAAGAAAUAACAGACAUCACACAUGACCGCAAGCUUCCCACCCCGGGAGUCACAGGGGUGAAAUUUCACACUUUUACGCUCUUAAGAGGGGUACUCCGACGUCAGCAGCCUCGACUAGAACCACACAGGCGCUAGUAGAGCAGAGCUCUCUAUUCCCCCAAGAACCGCCCACUCGACUUACUAGUGUCGAUCGCUCCUACGGAUCCAUCACCGACACGUUCCUGAACAAGGUCCGUCCUUAGUGGAGAACUCAGACAGUCCCAUACCUGAACUAUGACCGGUACAAUACGUUUGCCGUCGUGAUACCAGAUUUUAUAAAAUUUACUAGACAAGGAUUAGCAAGAGGAAGUACAUGCAAGACCAAAAUAAAUAUCACUAGGCUUUUCACAGAACCAACCAUCCAUGCAUGAGUCAUUAAUCCAUGUGCUCACAUGCAUGUACCAAGGAUUUCUCCACCCUGAUCAUAAACCAAAAGGUAGUACUGUGGUAUGCAUGCUAGCUUCAAGAGAUGUACAGGAAUCAAAUGAACAGUGCACAUUAUAGAGCUUCAGGAGUACUACUAGCUAUAGAGCAUGGCAUGAAUAGCGAGACAAACAAGGAAUAGGACAGCUAGAAAGGCUAGAUGGAACGCAUGCUUGCCUGACUCGCUGCUUCCUCUAAGCGCUCUUGCCGAUCAGUGUGAUUCUACUCCAUGCAAUGCUAGUUAGUGAACUGGUUUGUAUGUUGGGAUGAAUACUACAGCGUGCUCUUGCUCCUCUAUUUAUAGGCAUGGUAGGGUAGGAAAUGGAGCUGGAUAAGUAUAACUCAGCAGCCUCGAAUUGGCUUUUUAGGUUGAUAUCAGAGCUCCCUGAUCUCUCCUUGUUCUAUGCGGGAAUACCCAUUUAAUUUUUUGCAUUAAUUAGUCACAAAUAUACUCAUGAAUAGUUUCAACAGAUAUCCAUGCAAAUAAAUAAUAUAGCGUACAUAUUAUUGGUGAAAUUUGAGGAUGAAUGGGAAAUAAAUAGACAUCUUGUUAGAUUAAUACAUGACUUAAUAUUUGUGUAGAUUUUCUUGUUUAAGACAACUGGUGAUAUUGUUCCAGUAAUGGGACAAUUGCUAUACCACUAUCUAUCCUUUUUGUUAAUGAAUUUACCAAAUAAAAUGUUUAGUGUUGCCAACUUAUGUUAUAGCAGAUAUAUCCAUGAAUUGUAGAAAGAUUGCAAAUCCUUUUUUGCAUUAUUUUUAAUUAAUUAUUGAGCAUGCAUCAAAUAAACUGUUCCAAAUAUGAUGGGAGGGAAUUUGAUCACUAAAAAAAAGCAUAGAUGUUAGUGUUGAAUUUCGGGGACGAAAUUCUUAUAAGGUGGGGAGGAUGUAAUAACCCAUAUUUUUGGGUUAUUGAUUUAAAUUAAGAUAAGUAAUUAAAUUUGUAUUAUCUACUAAGUUAUGCUAAAUUCUUGAUUCAAAGAAUUAAGAUAGAGCUGUAAAUUUUUUUACAUGCAUUAAAUAUUAGAAAAUUACACACUAAGUAAGAGUAGGUGCAUGUGCGCAUAGACUUGCAUUCAUGCUCACGUUGUGAUAUAGGCAUGGGAAAUACUACUAGCUAGUUGGCCAUAUAAGCUAGACAAUUACAAGAGAGUUAACGUUGCAUUUGAAUAGAUGAAAUUAGACCAGGUACAAAUGAUACACCGGUAGAUAUUUUCUAGUACUAGAGCUCCAAGUCAAAUAGGUGCAUGUAUGUAAUCAUGAGGAAGAGGCAACGUGGCUUGGUUCUAGAGGAUAUGCAUGCAUGUGUCAGGUGUUUUGAAAACUCUAGUGAAUCAACUACACGUAUAGAAGAGGAAUGGAAGCAAACGUGGGUAGAUGCAUGCAUCGGCUGUAUCUCUAGAAACCCAAGUUUCCUACAUGGGCUGCAACAUGGCCAAGUACUAGAGGAACAUAGAAAUAGAAAAUAGAAGUCAGCUUUUACGUGUCCUAUACGUGGCCAUUUCUUAGUGCUUAAGUGAGAGUCAGGCCAAGAUAUUUUAGACUUGCACGGGCGCUCGCCUCCUAUAAAUAGCUGUGGGUCACGCUGCUCAAAGCACAGCUCUGAGAGAAAGACAUAGACACUGGAGGAGAGAGCCUGAGAAAAAGAAAUACACCAGAAAGAUAAAGAAGAGAGAUGAAGAAUUCAUGCAUGCAUCCACAUUUGAAGAAGAAUAGAGCGUUUAGGUGCUGCUGGAGGGAAGAGCCGAGCCAUACAUCAGAAGAAAUGUGAGUAUAUGUGUGUUCGGCACAUUUUAUACAAAGAUGAUGGAGUUUCAUCUUCUUGCAAAAUAUUAUUCUAAAGGAGAAAUCAUAUUAUCUGAGGCAAGUAGCUGCUUUGCCUAACUCCCCGAUCUCGCUUUAUUGUUGUCUUCUUUGAUUAUCGGUUAAUAUUGUUGCACCUUGAUCCUUAUUGAUCCUCUCUUGAUCCUUAAGAGAGGGAUGUGUUGUCCUCGUAUUCCAUUUGUUGAUGGAAUCAUAGUAUUUUGGAGGAACUCGUGAGAAGUCAUACACGUAUUGUCUUUGACUGAUAUUACAGUGAUUCUACCGUUGAUUCAAACACAUAUCCUAUUUUGUAUUGGUGUCAUGACGGCAAACAUAUUGUACCGGUCACAGUUCAGGUAUGGGACUGUCUGAGUUCUCCGCUAAGGACGGACCUUGUUCGGGAACGUGUCGGUGAUGGAUCCGUAAGAGCGAUCGACAUCAGUAGGUCCAGGUGUUCGGGUCUUAGUGGGUACAAGAGCUCUGCUCUUCUGGAACCUGUGUGGUUCUAGUCGAGACUGUCGACGUCGGAGUACGCCUCUUAAGAGCGUAAAAGUGUGAAAUUUCACCCCUGUGACUCCCGGGUUGGGAAGCUUGCGGUCAUGUGUGAUGCCAAUAAUUUCCUUGUUCAUUUCGUCUGUUGAUCUACACCAUCAUACCAUCGCUCCUUGUUGAAUAGUGAAGUAUCUGCUUGCUGAGUAUGAUUUGUCGUACUCACCCUUGCUUCCUCUGUUUUUUUAGAUGCGAACGAGGUAACUUAAGUAUGUUCAGAAGAUGUCUUCAUCCAAGACUAGGCUUGACCAGCGGGUGGGAAGCGACUAGAGAAUAUGACGUCUUUACUCAACUAUUUGUAGAUGUCAAGGAAUUUGUAUAGUAAAUAUAUUAGCUUUUGUGAUCCACUUCUGGUUUAUGCCUGCUUUAUCAUGCCUUGUGUGACUAUAGGCCUCUGGUCUAUAGGCGCGCGGCGGCUGUCUCGCCUAGGCCCGGUCUCGGGGCGUGACUUGCUUCCUCCGUUUUUUUAGAUGCGAACGAGGUAACUUAAGUAUGUUCAACUUAAGUAUGUUCAGAAGAUGUCUUCAUCCAAGACUAGGCUUGACCAGCGGGUGGGAAGCGACUAGAGAAUAUGAUGUCUUUACUCAACUAUUUNNNNNNNNNNCGUACUCACCCUUGCUUCCUCUGUUUUUUUAGAUGCGAACGAGGUAACUUAAGUAUGUUCAACUUAAGUAUGUUCAGAAGAUGUCUUCAUCCAAGACUAGGCUUGACCAGCGGGUGGGAAGCGACUAGAGAAUAUGAUGUCUUUACUCAACUAUUUGUAGAUGUCAAGGAAUUUGUAUAGUAAAUAUAUUAGCUUUUGUGAUCCACUUCUGGUUUAUGCCUGCUUUAUCAUGCCUUGCGUGACUAUAGUCCUCCUGGUCUAUAGGAGCGCGGCGGCUGUCUCGCCUAGGCCCGGUCUCGGGGCGUGACAGUUAAGGCGUGAUUAAUUAAGCAUUAACCAUCAGUGGAUCACAAAAGCUCAUAUAUAUUGACUACAGAAAUUUCUUUACAUGUACAAAUAGACAAAAUACAUUAAAAUCUCUAGUCGUUUCCCACCCACUCGUCGAGCCUAUUCUUGGAUGACAUCUUCUGGGCAUACUUAAGUUACACCGACUGCAUCUAAGAAAUAGAGGAGACAAGGGUGAGUACGAUAAAUCAUACUCAGCAAGCAAAUACUUCACUAUUCAAUAAGGAGCAAUGGUAUGAUGGUGUAGAUCAACAGACGAACUGAAUUCAGAGGAUAACAAUAUAACAACCAUUGGAAUCAUAUUUUGAUGUAAAUGGACAAAAGAACAAAAUACCAGAUUUAGUAAAAACAACAAGGAAUCUAUUGGCAUCACACAUGACCGCAAGCUUCCCAACCCGGGAGUCACAGGGGUGAAAUUUCACACUUUUACGCUCUUAAGAGUGGUACUCCGACGUCGACAGCCUCGACUAGAACCACACAGGCGCUAGUAGAGCAGAGCUCUCUAUUUCCCCAAGAACCGCCCACUCGACUUACUAGUGUCGAUCGCUCCUACGGAUCCAUCACCGACACGUUCCUGAACAAGGUCCGUCCUUAGCGGAGAACUCAGACAGUCCCAUACCUGAACUGUGACCGGUACAAUACGUUUGCCGUCGUGAUACCAGAUUUUAUAAAAUUUACUAGACAAGGAUUAGCAAGAGGAAGUACAUGCA
rnacentral:lncRNA from 1 species